GAGCUUUCUUAGGCAGCACAUACUCUAAAAUUGGAAUGAUACAGAGAAGGUUUACAUGACCCCUCUGCAAGGAUGGUACACAAAUUCACGAAACAGUCUGUAUUUUU
ensembl:snRNA U6 U6 spliceosomal RNA